rnacentral:misc_RNA from 1 species
GCAAACUUGGUCAUUUAGAGGAAGUAAAAGUCGUAACAAGGUUUCCGUAGGUGAACCUGCGGAAGGAUCAUUAUGAAAAAGAAUUUGGCAUUCUUAAACCCUUCCGAGUACUUGUACACGUUGCUUCCGUGGAUUACCUACCGGGCAUUCACGGAAGGCCAACCUAAACCCUGUAAUAUUGGAUUUUGUCUGAGCAUGUAUAUUCAAUAAAAGUUAAAAACUUUCAACAACGGAUCUCUUGGUUCUCGCAUCGAUGAAGAACGCAGC